UGAUGGAAUCAAAUUUUAGGAUGCCCUGUCUCGAUCUCGCUCUAUAAAUGAACGCUAAGCCAUGAGAUUGAAGAUUUUGGAUGCAAAAUUGCUUCCACUGUAUCCCCUUCACGAUUUCAUAUACUUCUAGCUCGAGAAAUUGAAUUUCUGAAGUCGAAACAGGGAGUCAUUUGAUGGGUUGGUUCUUGGUUAUUUCUGCCUUGGUUGUAAUUUGGAUUGCUUCAUUAUGCAAAAUCUUUUCAUCUUAUAGCAGUGGUUUCUUAAAUGAUGGCACUCCUCAAAAGAGAAAUAUCUUGCUGGUCAUUGCCCAUCCAGAUGAUGAGUCUAUGUUCUUUUCUCCAACAAUAAACUUCCUUACAUCAAGGGGGCAUAAACUUCAUAUUUUAUGCAUGUCGAUUGGUAAUGCAGAUGGCAUGGGAACCAUAAGAAGAGAAGAGUUAUACAAAGCUUCCACAGUUCUUAAGGUUCCCCUCAAUCAACUGAAGAUCCUGGACCAUCCAGGUUUGCAGGAUGGUUUUGGCAAAGUGUGGGAUCAUAAAUUGCUGGCAGAGAUUAUUGAACAGGAAAUAUCAAGCCGUGAGAUUGACUUGAUUAUUACUUUUGAUAGCUAUGGAGUUUCUGGUCACUGUAAUCAUCGUGAUGUGCACAAUGGGGUGCGAGUUUUCUUACACAAUAAGGCUCCACAAAGUUUCGAGGCAUGGGAACUAGUCAGUACCAAUAUACUACGGAAGUAUAGUGGACCAGUUGAUAUCUGGUUAUCUAUUUUGUUUUCUGAAGCGCACACAAGUGGAACAACACAUUGCUUGAUAAAUGAAUGUCCACGACAAAGCUUCUUCGCAAUGGCACAGCAUGCAAGCCAAUGGGUUUGGUUUCGGAAACUCUUUGUUACAUUUUCCAGUUAUACCUUUGUCAACACACUGAAAAGAAUCAACUAGCCAUGCUGUUAUAACACCAUAUGAUGUUAACAAUAUCCACCGAUAUCUACUUCGUGAGAACUUUACACUGGGAUUUCUUCAUUUCAUAAACGAUUGAAAGAAGGGAAGGAGAAUCCGUGUCAAUAAUCUGAUCUUUCCUAUGCAUAAAGAAAAUACUGUGGGAGGCCUAAGAAUCAUAGUAUAGGCUUUAGUUACACCCAGAAAUCUCCUAUAUCUUCAAGAUCUUUUAUGCAUAUUGCAUGUAAUAAGAGAUCUAUGUACAAAUAUGACCUUUUAUCCUCAUCUAUUUUUCUAGAUAAAUAGCAAUCAGAAAACAAUAUACAGAACAAUAUAGACAUCAGGAAGAAAAAUGUACACAUCCUUAAUUCUUAUUCUUAAGACGUAAAAAUGAUGGAUGCAAUUCGACUAAA